AGGUGAACCUGCGGAAGGAUCAUUGUCGAUACCUGCCGAGCAGAACGACCCGUGAACUUGUUGUUAACGCCGGGGACGCGCGGGCCUUGUGCUUGCGCGCCCUCGCUCGCGUCGCGUUGGGCUUUCGUUGCGCGUGCACCCCUGCGUGUGCGUGCCCGUUCGCCCCUCGCGGUGCCUUAACCAACCCCGGCGCGAAUUGCGCCAAGGACUUGUUAACGAGAGGGCUCGCUCCCGUCGCCCCCGGACACGGUGCGUGCGUGCGGGACGCGACGCCUCCUUUCAUUAUCUAUAACGACUCUCGGCAACGGAUAUCUCGGCUCUCGCAUCGAUGAAGAACGUAGCGAAAUGCGAUACUUGGUGUGAAUUGCAGAAUCCCGUGAACCAUCGAGUCUUUGAACGCAAGUUGCGCCCCAAGCCCUUUAGGGCCGGGCACGUCUGCCUGGGUGUCACGCAUCGUUGCCCCCCCUCCCAAAGAUCUAACGAUUCUUUCGGCGUGGGUGGGCGGAAAUUGGCCUCCCGUGCGCUCGCCCGUGCGGUUGGCCCAAAUCUGAGUUCUCGGUGACGCUUUCCCGCGACAGUCGGUGGCGUUUGAAAAACAACCUAGUGAUCCUGUCGUGCGGUUGCGUUCUCCCGGCCACGAGCUCUUCGACCCUAGAGACCGGGCAAAAGCCCUCUCGCAUCGCGACCCCAGGUCAGGCGGGAUCACCCGCUGAGUUU
rnacentral:misc_RNA from 1 species